UACGGAGGGUGCAAGCGUUGUUCGGAAUCAUUGGGCGUAAAGGGCGUGUAGGCGGUUUGUUAAGUCAUGUGUGAAAUCCCUCGGCUCAACCGGGGAACGGCGCUUGAAACUGGCAAGCUAGAGUACCAAAGAGGGCGGUGGAAUUCCCGGUGUAGCGGUGAAAUGCGCAGAUAUCGGGAGGAACACCUAUGGCGAAGGCAGCUCGCUGGGACGUUACUGACGCUGAGACGCGAAAGCGUGGGGAGCAAACAGG
rnacentral:rRNA from 1 species